rnacentral:lncRNA from 1 species
AAAAAUAAAAAUAAAAUAGUUUAAGUUAAGAGAAUCAACUAGGAUAACUGAUCGUUCCUAGAGUAAAUGGCAAAGAGCUUGAUAGUUGGUAUUUGAGACCCAAGUUCGAAUUCUAGUUAAUUUUUAUUUUCAGCCAAGUUUAUUUCUAAAUGAAAUAAACGGAGUGGGUAGCGUGCUACCUAUUUCUCAAAAAAAAAAAAAAGUUAAGAGGAUUAAAUAUGCAAUAUUUUUAUUU